ACCUGACAGAAAUCAGCUCCUUUAUUGGUCGAAUUUGUCGAUCGUCAUCACUGAGGUCAGCGACCAUUCUUCUAUCUCAUAUCUGAUUGGACGGAUAAGUGUUCCGACGUCACGUCUCUGCCAGCUGAUCGGAGUGAGAAGCCGGUUUGAAGAGCGGAGUUGGACAGAGGAGAGAGACCGGGGAGGAACCUCGAGUGGCGGAGAGCGCACACACACGGGGUGGGACCGGACAAAUGGAUGCACACACACACACACUGACUGGACCGCUUUGUACCGUUUUUCCUGAGCGUUGAAUGUUAACACCGGAGCGGCUCGAUGGGCUUUAUGCCUCCUCCAGUUCGGGGUUUAAACUCCGCCGCGUCUCGUCGAAACCUCUGGAAGAAAGUGACAGAAAGCGAGAGAGAGAGAGAGAACGAUUGAGAGUUAAGGUGUGGCUGAGGAUUUUUUUUUCUGUUCCUAUAUUAUAUAUAUAUAUAUAUUUUUUUUUUUUUUGUAUGGUUCCGGGACUGAAAAUGUUCCAGAACCUAUCUCUGUAGAGAGCGGGCAGCUAUAUAAGCUUUUAAAACCCUUUCAAAAACCGGAUAAUAUUUGGGCUGAACCCAGGCCUAACAAAUCUUUAUCAAACCUCAUCGCUGUGAUUAACCGGACUGUUGCGCACUUAAUACGUCUGAAUCUACACACAKUUACGCGUCGUUCCGAGUUCAUAAAGUGAGUAUAAUAUUACGAACGUGGCAACUUUACGGCAGCCAGCUUUUGACUGAACGCUACGGUCCAGCUGGGCGUGGGGAGGGAGUCUGAAACAGCCCGAAGGAAGUCCUAAACUCUGGGUCUUUACGGCGGCACAAAAUGCGCACAUUUGUCCGGCAACACCUGAGCGAGCCUACGUGGAGCCUCUGGACCGACCGGAACCGAAUAUCUCCAGGUGCAGAUCUUGUCUUCACCCAGAUUUGGCACAAUCAGGAUCUUCCUCCCAGAAAUCUCCACUGGUUUGAUUCUGCGUAAUGAUCUUUCAAGAGAUUUACUUUAGAAGAUGGCGAAGAAGGAAGCAGCCUGUUGGGCCUCUCUGUGCCAAGCAGCAACAGCUACGGCCAAAAGCUGAAGCCAACACGAAAGCGUCUUAAGAUGGAGCAUGUAACAGUUGCUAGAUACUGGCUCCAUCUGCCAAGAAUUCAGUUUAAAAAAUGUCCCAAACAUUUGUCUUUAAGGGGUCAACGCUAUGGACUCAACAACUUUGAGGUUUGAUUUGGAGUUGGUUACAAGUUUUAACAUUUUGUCUACAGGCAGCUGUAAWRUUUCUAUAUUUAAAUUGCAUUUAGUCCAAGCAGUUUAACUCUUACAUUUUCAUUGGCAAAUCCCACACGGAACAGAGAAUAUGAAAUGUCUAAGAAUCCUGCAAAACUGCCAGAAAAGCACAAACUAAAGCGAAAUACUUGUGUGCAAUCUACAAAGCCAAUAACGGUUUUCACUUAUUUGAGUUAUUAUUAGAAUUAAAUCAACAUGUAAAAUGAAAACUCUUUGGUUGACAGCUGAAAAGUGAGUAGUAGUGAAUGUAAAGAAAAAUGCAUACUUUAUGUAUGGUGGUUCGCUGAAGACAACAUACCAAUUCAUAUUUUUAAAUGUAAACUGGCAAAUGUUUCUUUUCAUCUGUGGACAUUUCUUGAUGGAUCAGCUCAUUGGCUGACCUACAGCAG